CUUGGACUUAGUUCUGAGAUCCUUUCUGCACAUGUGGGCAUCCCCCAUGCUCGAGUUCAUUUUGAAGCCACAAACACCCAGCAGCAGAGGCAGACAAUUCCUAGUAAUCUUUCAGAAAACUCAAUUUCCAGCCAUGUAUGACAAAAUGACUAUUUAAUGAAGGCAAAUGUCAUGCUUAAAUAUUUUUAGUUUUUCUUGUCGGUGAGUGAAUCGUUUUGAAUGACAGAUUAAAUUUCAAGGGGUGCAAGAAUCUCAACAGAACACCAUUCCUUUUCUAAUUUUUUGUUCCAUUGACUCUCGGAAACCCUCUCAGUGAUUCAGGAAGCUGUCUAGGGCUUUCUGACAGCACAUCAUACGCUCAGCAGAUCAGUGAAACCCCUAUCAGUAGAGCUGCGACUGAACCCAUUGUGAGUUCCGGUCCUCUUAAAGGAAAAGCUCUUCCCACUGAACGGGCUCCCAUCUGCACCUGCUUUAGAUUCUGUAACUUCCUCAACCCAUUUGCUUCUUCUCCUUUAGAGGUGCUCAUGGCAGAGGUCAUUCUUUUUACUUCAGUGGCUUCAGUCGGCAAAGGCUUUUGCUAGGAGCUGCCUUCGUGGGUGACAGAUGAGGGGACAUGAGGAUUGUGACAGGGCUCAGACACCUCUGCUCCCUUCCCUCCAAAGCCAGGAGAGAGCUCUGAAGGGAGGGGGGAAGGAGGGGUGAGGCACCCCCUCCGGGGCCUCUCCAAGGAAGGAAUGGAUCCUGCUGUCAGUUCCUCCCAGGUUCCAGCCUAUCGCUUGGCUCUAGAGGAAACUCCAGAAUGAAUGAAGAAGAGGUUCAAUGGAUGACUAAGAAUAUGAACUGCGAAGUUCUGGAGACAAAUGAUAAGAGGUCAAAUAGUGUGAUGGGAAAAACUCAACCCACCAUGGUACUGGAGGUUGAGUGAGUGGGCUUCGAUUUAUCCCCACUAUUUGCUAACUGGGUAAUCUGGGCAAGAAAUCUCUCCUUUCAGAGUUUUAGUUUCCUCAUCUAUGAAGCAAGGGGUUUGGAGCAAAUAAUCUCUAAUCUUCCCUCUCUAUUGUUAAAAUUCUCAGAGUAGAUGGUUGCUAUGCCCACCCCUCACCCUGGGCCCAAUUCCAGUCCUUUCAGAAUUGGCUUAUGCUAGAAAGCAGUUGUCGUUGAGCAAGAAAGAACUCUGGGGCCAUCAAAAAGAGGUUGCUUGGUGAGAGGAGUUUGCGCACACCAAUGGUAGGCACCCAGGGUGAGUCGAGAAGACAGGAUGUUCCAGAACAUUCUCCCUUGCCUGUACUAAUUCCAUGGUAGGUGGGUGGGGCUGCACAAAAGCCUGGAACAUUUUCCUUUUGAUGUGAGCUGGAGGCAAGCUGAUAGAAACACGGAAACCCAGGCCAGCCUAGAGACCUAUAAGUCAAAGUUGACUUCUCCCCUGACCCAACCCCAUCUAGCAUUGCCCAACUCCCCAAACACUGCUGAAUGGCUGUUUAUGUGGAGAUGAAGAAAAGCUCUCUGUUGACUUUGUUUCCAAACCCUGCCUUUUGGAAUUGACACAAGAAGAGAGCACACUGCUCUCCAGGCCUGACCAUCCGGUCAGCAGACUCCAAUCCCCUGCCCCUGCGUUCUGGCUUUUCCUCCUCAAACAGAAGCUAUUGAAUCAGAUAUCAACAACAUAGAUAAAAAGGAGAGCAACAUGGGCUUUGAACCCAAGGCUAACAGGCUUAUCACAAACUCUUGUCAACCUCUCUCUGUCGCUUCCAACCCCAGGGGUGAAAGAUCAAACUUUCACUCCUUCUCCUGAGGACUGCUCUGUACAGGGGUCCUGGUCCCUGUGGGUCGGGGCACAUGGGGCUGGAUCUGCACCUUCAGAGAACACAGCCGGGACCGCAGAGGAAGCAAGGCCCCAGGUUCACUGUGGCUGCAGGUGGAGGGAGGCUGUCACUUGGGAUGGGUGCCCGAAGCAGUACAAAGGCAGCAUUCAGGUUAAAAGCAUAAAAACUGCAACCAGACUUCCUGGUCUAUCUCUCACAGCUUUGCGAUCUUGGAUGAGUUUUUUAAUCCUCUUGGUAUCUUAAUUUCUCCAUCUACCCAGUAAGGCUGUUAGGAGGAUUAAAUGUGCUCGUAUUUCUAAAACAAUGUAGAACAAUGCCUGACACUUAGGAUGUGUCAAAUAAAUUGGUGGUUCUCAAACUUUAGCAGGGAUAAAUCUCCUGGAGAACUUGUUUAAAUGCAAUUUGCAGGACUUGGUUCCCUGGAUGCUUACAGUGAGGGCCCAGAGUUGUGUGACGCUGGCACAGGUAGUCAGUACCACCUGGUCACUGUUGCACCUGGAUACCUGCCACCCUCUGGGAGCAGCAGGAUCCUGUGUCCCUCAGGAUUGGCCCUAGUUGCCCGGUGGGUUGCUAGAAUCCUUGCAGAUUGUGGUCUUGUGUGUUGUGGCUCAUCAGCCUGGAAAGUUCUUCUGCAUCUUGUCCAGUUGAUCUUUCAAGUUUCAGCUUGAGCAACGUCUCCUCUAUGAACCCUUCUUUACCUGGACCUGAACCUCUGGGAAGGGACACAAGCCCUUGUCUGCUGUUCCAAGACUCAUUUUUUGUAAAUGUGAAGCAACCUGACUUGUGGCAAGAACCAUAUGUGAUGGCAAAAACCUGACCUGAACUGACAUGCAGCUAUUGAUAGUCUUUAUUUACUCCACUUAGUGUGACUCUUCAUAUGUUUGCUGUAGAAAUAUUAAUGGGUUUGCUGACAAGGUGCUGCCCCAGACUCUGCUGAGGAUCUUACAUAAUGGAUGGCAUAUAAAAGGGAGCAAAACCAUGUGAAAGGUCACUGAGGAAGUUCCAGUGUGGAUGCCUGGAAGAUACAAGAGAACAACUCCCAGAGAUUUGGAAAUACGGAGGAGGAGAGGUUUAAAAGUGUGAGUUCAGAUUGGGACAUUUAGAGUUUGGGUGACUUGAGGAAUGUCCUACGAUGAGUCCAUUAGGCUUUUGGAGACGAGGGCCCUGAGAGAAGCUGGGGCUAGAGAUACACUUGGGAAUUGUCCACAUGGAGGUACUAACUUAAGCCAUGAGAGGAAGAGGAGGAGGAAAAGGAGAAAGAGACACAGAGAGAGAGAGAGAGAGAGAGCUCACCAAGAACAAAUUAUUGGGGAACACCUACCUUUAGGAGAGGAGAAAAAAUAGUAGGAGUAUUUGAAGAGUGAGAGAGUAACCAGAAGAUUGAAAUGUCAUGGAAACCAAAGACACAGUAUCAAGACAGAAGAAAUCAUCGAUAACACUGAAGGCAGCACACUACGGGGGAGAAAGAAGACUGGGAAUUGGUGGUUAGAUGUGACCACCUGGAGAUCUGCCAUCCCCCUGCCCACGUCCCAAAGAGCAGGUAGAUGCCCUUGCGCACCAGUCAGGAAUGCAAUGGGGAGUCAUGGAAAAUUUUCCAGCAGAAGAUUGACAAGAUCAGAGUUUGCUGGAAGCAGGCUCACAUGAGUGUAAGAUGGCUGGGAAGGGGAAAAAUCAGGUGGACACCAUUUAGUGGGAUAUUGCAGAAGUCCAGACUGAGGGAGGUCUAGAAGCUAAUUAAGGGCUGGUGGCUUCAAUGUUACAACAUGUAGAGCAGGACAAUGACAGGCCGAAGGUCAUGGGGCUCCCAGGGCUUCCUGGACCUCAGGUGGGUAUGGCCAUUGCUCUUUGCAUGUCACCAGCAACAAGUGUUUCCCAACUCGGUCUCUCUCAGCCUCCGUAGCUAAUAUUUGCCUCCUAUUGAUUCAGUAUCUAGCCUGUUACUUUUUAACUGGAGCCUGGGGUUCAAAGGCCUGACUGUUGUUUAAACACUCAUUACAUUGCGGAGGGCAUGUCCCCCUGACAAUCUCAACUCAUGAACAAGCAAGGAUCUUCUAAGUAAAUAUAGAAUGCAGAGAAGGCAAG
rnacentral:lncRNA from 10 species